UACGUAGGGUGCAAGCGUUGUCCGGAAUUACUGGGCGUAAAGCGUGCGCAGGCGGUUUUGUAAGCCAGAUGUGAAAGCCCCGGGCUCAACCUGGGAAUGGCAUUUGGGACUGCAAGGCUUGAGUGCGGCAGAGGAGACUGGAAUUCCUGGUGUAGCGGUGAAAUGCGCAGAUAUCAGGAGGAACACCGGUGGCGAAGGCGGGUCUCUGGGCAACAACUGACGCUGAGGAGCGAAAGCGUGGGGAGCGAACAGG
rnacentral:rRNA from 1 species